rnacentral:tRNA from 1 species
UACAUACUAGCUCAUUUGGUAGAGCCUUUGACUACGAAUCAAACGGUAGCAGGUUCGAUCCCUGCGUAUAACACAA